AAUUGAGGUACAUAGGCAUUCAUUUCCAGCACAUUCAAUUUGGACUGCCAGCAUACAACUCAGCUGACUGUGAUUGCCUCUGAAGAAGUUCCCUGCCAGCACAUCAGCCGGGCUCUCUGAGCAAGUCUUCACAGUCAUUCUGUCCAGAACUCACUGCAGUCUCCCGUGAAGAAAUCCACAUCCUGCUGGUCGUUCUCUAUGGCUCUCCAGGUGAAAGGAAUCAAACAGAUGGAAGUGGAAGCAGUAUUGUAUGACAGCUGUGCUGUGGCUGUCUGGCACGACCGGUGGGCAGAGGGCUCCAUAUUUAGGAGCGAAAGAACAAGAUCGUGUGAGCCCUGACAUCUCUCAAGGACUUUUGAAGGAGCCAAAUCCCAGUCAUGGUGUGAUUUAUGGGGACGCAGUAACACAUGGGACAUCAGAGCCAAUCAUCAUUCAUCUCUAAAGAAAGAACAGCUCAUGGUUGAGCUCCCAUGGGCAACCCCCCAGCAGAACAGGCCAGAGGAGACCAGGGUCAUUCUGGCUAUGCUGUACAUUUUCAUGUCCCAAUCAUGUCUAAAGAUGAAAAUCAUAUUCUCUAGAAAAACAGGCAAUUUAUUAAGAAAUAUUCCAUUAUUUCUUAAUUUGUUCAUUUACUAAUUAAUGUUACACAACAUGUUUACCUCAGAUUAUUGAUUUUCUGUUUGGAGUCCUGAGUGUGAAAUAUCACUUUUCAUCCAGUUAGUAAAAUCCCUUAACUAACAUAAAUCAGUUCCUUAAAUGACAUCAUCGUACAGGAAGGGACAUCAUUUUGGAGGGAAAACCAGCAUUAGUCACUAACUAUUGAGCGCUGCAAGGCCAGUCUUGAAGUUAGCAUCACCCUGGUUCCCUCAACAAAAAGACAAUAGGAUUUCCCACUGGAUUAGAGUAUUGCUCAUGUAAGAAUAUGAAUAUGUUUUAUUCAUCAUAAUAAUCCUAAAAAAGUAACACAAUUUGUAUGAAUUUUGAAGUCAAUAACCAAGAAUAAAAAGCUACAUGUAGACUAUAAACAAACUACACCAUGGUCACUGUCACCAAAACUAAGCUUUCACCAACUCUUUCAGUCUUUAUUUUAAAAAGCAUUUCACUAAAUAUCAGAGUUAGAACCGUUUUCAAAAGUCUGUAAAAGCAGAAUAGUUAAUAGAUAGUAGGGAUGCAUGAUUAAUCAAACGUGAUUAAUCCGAUUCUCAUGCGCAUUUAGUCAGUAAAGCGGGUUCUGUGAUUAGCAGUAAAUCUCCAUCACCUGCUUUCAGGUGGAGCAGCAUUUACUAGACAGAGCCGUAGUUCACUGACAAGCUAUGCAAAAUUACAUUCGUAAUCGCAGACAUUAUAAUUGUAGGUUUAUGAAAUCGACAAAAUCUUUCACGAUAAUGACACCUGUCUGCAUAUCUUCUCAGUAAACUAUGGCUCUGUGUAGUAAAUGAUGCUCCAUCUGAGAGCAUGUGAAAAUACCACAUUUGAUAACGUUUUAACUCCAAAUUCACUUUAUAACGUCAGUCAAGUGUUUAAAAUAAGUCCUUCUGUAAGAUGAUGUGGCUUCUUAAACAGAAUAAUUAAGGCACACUAUAUUUCAUUGUUUUCUAAGC